rnacentral:rRNA from 1 species
AACGUAGGGGGCGAGCGUUGUCCGGAAUUACUGGGCGUAAAGAGCUCGUAGGCGGUAGUUCAAGUCAGGUGUGAAAUCCGACGGCUUAACCGGAGGGCUGCACCUGAUACUGGGCUGCUAGAGGUAAGGAGAGGAAGGUGGAAUUCCUGGUGUAGCAGUGAAAUGCGUAGAGAUCAGGAGGAACACCGAUGGCGAAGGCAGCCCCCUGGGCCUGUACUGACGCUCAUGCACGAAAGCGUGGGGAGCAAACAGG